UACGUAGGGUGCAAGCGUUGUCCGGAAUCAUUGGGCGUAAAGCGCGCGUAGGUGGCUUCGUAAGUCCGUUGUGAAAGUCAAAGGCUCAACCUUUGAAUGCCGAUGGAUACUGCGAAGCUAGAGUACGGAAGAGGCGAGUGGAAUUCCUGGUGUAGCGGUGGAAUGCGCAGAUAUCAGGAGGAACACCGGUGGCGAAGGCGGGUCUCUGGGCCGUAACUGACGCUGAGGAGCGAAAGCGUGGGGAGCGAUCCGG
rnacentral:rRNA from 1 species